rnacentral:tRNA from 1 species
UCCUCCUUAGCUCAGUUGGUAGAGCGACGGACUGUUAAUCCGCAGGUCGCUGGUUCGAGCCCAGCAGGAGCUGUUAAUCCGUAUGUCGCAGGUUCGAGUCCCGCAGGGGGAGCCA